UGACAUGCUCUCGAUAUUAUC
rnacentral:miRNA from 1 species